AACGCGAAGAACCUUACCUGGCCUUGACAUGGUAGGAACCCUUAAGAGAUUAGGGGGUGCUAGCUUGCUAGAACCUACACACAGGUGCUGCACGGCUGUCGUCAGCUCGUGUCGUGAGAUGUUGGGUUAAGUCCCGCAACGAGCGCAACCCUCGUCCUUAGUUGCUAACAGUUCGGCUGAGCACUCUAAGGAGACUGCCUUCGCAAGGAGGAGGAAGGUGAGGACGACGUCAAGUCAACAUGGCCCUUACGGCCAGGGCUACACACGUGCUACAAUGGGGCGUACAGAGAGCUGCAAUACCGCGAGGUGGAGCCAAUCUCUUAAAGCGUCUCUCAGUUCGGAUUGUUCUCUGCAACUCGAGAACAUGAAGCUGGAAUCACUAGUAAUCGCAGAUCAGCUAUGCUGCGGUGAAUACGUUCCCGGGUCUUGUACACACCG
rnacentral:rRNA from 1 species